rnacentral:tRNA from 2 species
GCACCCGUAGCUCAGUGGAUAGAGCGCAGCCCUGCGGAGGCUGAGGUCCCAGGUUCGAAUCCUGGUGGGUGCGCCA